ensembl:snRNA U6 U6 spliceosomal RNA
GUGCAUGCUUCAUAGCACGUAUACUAUAAUGGGAACAUUACUGAGGCAUUAGCAUGGCCCCAGCACCAGGAGGACAUGAAAAGUUGUAGAGUGUUUGCUAGUUUUU